rnacentral:rRNA from 1 species
UGCAACUCGCCUGCACGAAGUCGGAAUUGCUAGUAAUCGUAGGUCAGCAUACUACGGUGAAUACGUUCCCGGGCCUUGUACACACCGCCCGUCAAACCAUGAGAGUUGGCAACACCCGAAGUCGGUAGUCUAACCGCAAGGAGGACGCCGCCGAAGGUGGGGUUGAUGAUUAGGGUUAAGUCGUAACAAGGUACC